UCCUGGCUCAGAUUGAACGCUGGCGGCAUGCCUUACACAUGCAAGUCGAACGGCAGCACGGGAGCAAUCCUGGUGGCGAGUGGCGAACGGGUGAGUAAUACAUCGGAACGUGCCCAAUCGUGGGGGAUAACGCAGCGAAAGCUGUGCUAAUACCGCAUACGAUCUACGGAUGAAAGCAGGGGACCGCAAGGCCUUGCGCGAAUGGAGCGGCCGAUGGCAGAUUAGGUAGUUGGUGAGGUAAAGGCUCACCAAGCCUUCGAUCUGUAGCUGGUCUGAGAGGACGACCAGCCACACUGGGACUGAGACACGGCCCAGACUCCUACGGGAGGCAGCAGUGGGGAAUUUUGGACAAUGGGCGAAAGCCUGAUCCAGCAAUGCCGCGUGCAGGAUGAAGGCCUUCGGGUUGUAAACUGCUUUUGUACGGAACGAAACGGUUCUUUCUAAUAAAGAGGGCUAAUGACGGUACCGUAAGAAUAAGCACCGGCUAACUACGUG
rnacentral:rRNA from 1 species